rnacentral:rRNA from 1 species
AACGAACGUUAGCGGCGCGCUUAACACAUGCAAGUCGUGCGAGAAAGGGAGCAAUCCCCGGUAAAGCGGCGCACGGGUGAGUAACACGUAGGUAACGUGCCCCCAGGUGGUGGAUAACCUUCCGAAAGGAGGGCUAAUACAGCAUAAGACCACGGCUUCGAAAGGAGCUGAGGUCAAAGUCGGCCUCUAUUCAUAAGAUGACGCCAGGGGAUCGGCCUGCGGCCCAUCAGGUAGUUGGUAGGGUAAUGGCCUACCAAGCCUAAGACGGGUAGCUGGUCUGAGAGGAUGAUCAGCCACACUGGAACUGAGACACGGUCCAGACUCCUACGGGAGGCAGCAGUGGGGAAUCUUGCGCAAUGGGCGAAAGCCUGACGCAGCGACGCCGCGUGAGUGAUGAAGGCC